AUUACCUUACGACCCACAAAGGGAGAUGGAAAAACAAGAUCUUCAUAAACACAAUUUUCAGCUAUAAGAUACUGUACAGAAUCCACAUCAUGUGAAUUGAUUCCAUCAUAGAAAUUUCUGACAACAUUUGAAGCUAAAUCUACAACGUUGUUAUCAUCAAAGUGUGUGGUGGUAGUUGUAACUGAGUUAUUUUCACCACUCUUAUUAACUGCCAUGUUCCAUUUUCUAACUCUUUUUGUUCCAACUCCAACAACCUUAGUAACUGAAUUUGAAGCAUAGUUUCUUCUAGGUGACAAAGAAUCUAAAGGUGAAGCUAAGUUCAAAAGUAGAGCUUGAGUGCUGUUGGAACUACACAACACCAUAAACAUUGUGUGCUCCAAUCCCACUUCAACAACUACCACAAAAACACUUCAAACUUCACACUUUAUCUUCAUGUUUUACCUUCCAAAAUUUUCAAUCUCUUGCUAUUAACUAGUACUACUAUUUAUGUUCCUAAACAUAAACUUUUGACAAGAUAAUUAUUUUUUUUUUUGAAAAAAGACAAAUUAAUUAUCUUUUAAACAUAAGUUUUUUUUUUUACAAACAUAAGUAUUGUUUUAAAAAACAUAAGUAUUGUUUUAAAUAAUUAUUAGGUACUAUAUAUUGCUUUUUUGAUUCAUUAAAUAACUAGUUUAUCUAACUUAUAUUAUACGAUACAUAUAUUAGUUACACAAUAUAUCUAAAAAAUAAGUUUUCUCUUAUUAAGGAAAAGAGGAAGUAUUUUUAUACUACCGAGUACAAUUAAAUUUUCUUGUUAGAAAAAAUAUUAAAAUAUCUCUUAAGUACAACUUAGUACUAUAAAAAGUCAUAGACACAUUUGAUAUUUUGAUAUGUUGAAGUGUGUGGUCAAACUUACCAAUAUAAUGACUUGAAGUUGAAGUGGUUAAUGAGAUAUUUCUAUAAUAAAUUGUUAGGAAGAAUUCAAUUUUUUUUUUAUGAGAAUGAUUCUUGGUUAAAUUUUAUUUAUUUCGUAGCCAAACUUACCAACAAUUGAAUUUGUUUUUUUAUUUUUAGUCAAGUAAUUUAAGGGCAAGACUCACACAUUUAAAUGUGGAGAAACGUAGAAUUCGGGGUUCGAACCCGGUCACACUAAUAAUGUCCUUGAUAACUAUCAUUUGAACUACAUUUAUGAGACCGUUAAACAAUUGAAUUUCAACUCAAUAUUUGAAGCUUUUUAAGUUAAGGGUAAAAUAUGUUUCGCUCUCUAUUUUUAUAUUGAGUUUUGGUUUUUAUCUCUAUAUUUUAAAAUCAUUCUUUUUAGUCCCCAAUUAAUUUUCAGUUUUUGUUUUAGUACCAAAUAUUUUUUUUUAAAAGCCAAAAUGAGAUAAAUAUAUAAAAAUCUUUUUAGCACAAGAUGUGCUAAAAGAGACUAAAGAAUGUUACAUGAGUCACAAUACGAAAACAAAAAAAAUAUACAAGGCCCCAACAAAAAAAUCAUACAAUUAAUAUUCAGUUUUGAUUUUAGUACCAAAUGUUAGGUCAACUACUGUUGACUAACGGAAGUCCACGUGACACUGACACGUUGGAUUUCAUUGACAUGUAACAUCCUAUGUGGACUGCCACGUCAUAUUUUUAAAUUUUUUAAAACCCCUUUUUUUGGGUCAAUAAUAAAAAAAACUUUAUUUCAUUUAAAACUAGAGGCCAAACAAGACACGUUUCACGCUUGUCUGUGUCUAUUAUGCAAACUUACGUAAAUAAACAAAUGUCUUAUGUUUCCCCUUGGUUCUGCUUUCGAGGCAUCUACGUCUCCAUCACUUGGCUCAAGCGUUUUUGGCAACACCCAGUCAUCCCCAUUAUAUAACUCCACUGGGUCACAUGGCUCUAUCUCUAUUACAUAAGGUUCUGCCCUUGGAUUUCGACCCGUUCCAACUGCAGAUGAUCCUUACGAUAAUGUGCAUAUUGAUUUCCUUGGGGAUGUUCAGAACAAUGAUUCGCUUGGGAAUGUUCAGAACAAUGAUUUGCUUAUACAACAAGGUAUCAGUGGAAUAUUUAAUUUUAGAUAUUUAAAUUGUUGAUUGAAGUUUUAAUUGUUGAUGUUUGCUUGAAUUUUACUUGCUUCAACAAUGAUUCCCUUUAAUUGUUGAUUGAAGUUUUAAUUGUUGAUGUUUGUUUGAAUUUUAACUGUUAUUUGUCUCUUGCCGUUGAUCACCUCCAAACGAUAAAAACUGCAUCCUUUGCUAAAGGGAAAAGCCUUUCCUUUCCAUUCUGCAGUCAUUACCAGAAAAACAAAUGUCAUUAAAAAGGGGAAUUGUGGGUUCAAAUUCGCUCCCAGAAAAGCAAAUGUCAUUACAAUCUUUUACCAUCGGAGUUGUACUUACAAAUGUUCUCGUUAGAUAUUUAUGUAAACUCUAUGAAUAAUAUAGAAUUCAAUUGUAUAGAUAUAAAGAACAGUUCAAUUUGAAAUGCACCUAAAUGCCAAAUCACCCCAACUGAUGCUGAAUCCUCCGUAGACAAAUCACCAAUAACAAACUGCAGAUCUAUGCUUGUAGAAUCAGUGAACUUUUUGAAGAACUCUAUAAUUUCCUGUAAUAUAUAAGUAAGAGAGGUAAAUUAUGAUAAACUUCUUCUAACUACUAAAAAUUAAUUAUUUAAUUAAAAAUAAUCUUAUUCCAUAAAUUACCUUACCACCCACAAAGGGAGAUAUAAACACAAUUUUCAGCUAUAAGAUACUGUACUGAAUCCACAUCAUGUGAAUUGAUUCCAUCAUAGAAAUUUCUCACAACAUUUGAAGCUGAAUCUACAACGUUGUUAUCAUCAAAGUGUGUGGUGGUAGUUGUAACUGAAUUAUUUUGACCACUCUUAUUAACUACCAUGUUCCAUUUUCUAAGUCUUUUUGUUCCAACUCCAACAACCUUAGUAACUGAAUUUGAAGCAUAGUUUCUUCUAGGUGACAAAGAAUCUAAAGGUAAAGCUAAGCUCAAAAUUAGAGCUUGUGUGCUUUUGGAACUACACAACACCAUAAACAUUGUGUGCUCCACUUCAACAACUACCACGGAGACACUUCAAACUUUAUCUUCAUAUUUUACUUUGUUGAAACUUGUCUU
rnacentral:lncRNA from 1 species